rnacentral:rRNA from 1 species
GACGAACGCUGGCGGCGUGCUUAACACAUGCAAGUCGAGCGGUAAGGCCCUUUCGGGGGUACGACGAGCGGCGAACGGGUGAGUAACACGUGGGUGACCUGCCCUCAGCUCUGGGAGUAAGCCUGGGAAACCGGGGUCUAAUACCGGAUAUGACUCCAUGACGCAUGUUGUGGGGUGGAAAGCCUUGUGCGGCUGAGGAUGGGCCCGCGGCCUAUCAGCUUGUUGGUGGGGUGAUGGCCUACCAAGGCGACGACGGGUAGCCGGCCUGAGAGGGCGACCGGCCACACUGGGACUGAGACACGGCCCAGACUCCUACGGGAGGCAGCAGUGGGGAAUCUUGCGCAUGGGCGAAAGCCUGACGCAGCGACGCCGCGUGAGGGAUGACGGCC